UAAUGUUUGAUGUUCUAACGUGGACCCGUGAUCCGGGUUGCGGACAGUGUCUGGUGGGUAGUUUGACUGGGGCGGUCUCCUCCUAAAGAGUAACGGAGGAGCACGAAGGUUGGCUAAUCCUGGUCGGACAUCAGGAGGUUAGUGCAAUGGCAUAAGCCAGCUUGACUGCGAGCGUGACGGCGCGAGCAGGUGCGAAAGCAGGUCAUAGUGAUCCGGUGGUUCUGAAUGGAAGGGCCAUCGCUCAACGGAUAAAAGGUACUCCGGGGAUAACAGGCUGAUACCGCCCAAGAGUUCAUAUCGACGGCGGUGUUUGGCACCUCGAUGUCGGCUCAUCACAUCCUGGGGCUGAAGUAGGUCCCAAGGGUAUGGCUGUUCGCCAUUUAAAGUGGUACGCGAGCUGGGUUUAGAACGUCGUGAGACAGUUCGGUCCCUAUCUGCCGUGGGCGCUGGAGAACUGAGGGGGGCUGCUCCUAGUACGAGAGGACCGGAGUGGACGCAUCACUGGUGUUCGGGUUGUCAUGCCAAUGGCACUGCCCGGUAGCUAAAUGCGGAAGAGAUAAGUGCUGAAAGCAUCUAAGCACGAAACUU
rnacentral:rRNA from 1 species